UUUAAAAAAAAUUAUGCUGUUAUCCCUAAGGUAAUUAAUUUUAUUAAUUUAUAUUAUAAGAUAUUUUAUUCAUAAAUUAUUGUUUUUUAAAAAAAAAUUUUUUUAAUUUUUUUAUUACCCCAAUAAAAUUUAUUUAAUAAAUUUAAUUUAAAUUAUUAUUUUAAAAUUUAUUAAUAAAUAAAAUUCUAUAGGGUCUUGUCGUCUUUUUAAAAAUAUUUAAGUUUUUUUACUUAAAUAAUAAUUUAAAUUUUUAUUUAAUUGAAAUAGUUUAUAUCUCAUUAGAUCAUUCAUACAAGUUUUUAAUUAAAAAACAAAUUAUUAUGCUACCUUUGUACAGUUAAAUUUCUGCAGCCAUUUAAUUU
rnacentral:rRNA from 1 species